GAUGAACGCUGGCGGCGUGCCUAAUACAUGCAAGUCGAGCGAACAGACGAGGAGCUUUCUCCUCUGACGUUAGCGGCGGACGGGUGAGUAACACGUGGAUAACCUACCUAUAAGACUGGGAUAACUUCGGGAAACCGGAGCUAAUACCGGAUAAUAUAUUGAACCGCAUGGUUCAAUAGUGAAAGACGGUUUUGCUGUCACUUAUAGAUGGAUCCGCGCCGCAUUAGCUAGUUGGUAAGGUAACGGCUUACCAAGGCAACGAUGCGUAGCUGACCUGAGAGGGUGAUCGGCCACACUGGAACUGAGACACGGUCCAGACUCCUACGGGAGGCAGCAGUAGGGAAUCUUCCGCAAUGGGCGAAAGCCUGACGGAGCAACGCCGCGUGAGUGAUGAAGGUCUUCGGAUCGUAAAACUCUGUUAUUAGGGAAGAACAAAAGUGUAAGUAACUAUGCACGUCUUGACGGUACCUAAUCAGAAAGCCACGGCUAACUACGUG
rnacentral:rRNA from 1 species